rnacentral:antisense_RNA from 1 species
AGAAAGGCUUCCACGACGGGAACGUUUGGGGGCUUUUCCUUUUGG